rnacentral:rRNA from 1 species
AUUAUUGGGCGUAAAGCGCGCGCAGGUGGUUUCUUAAGUCUGAUGUGAAAGCCCACGGCUCAACCGUGGAGGGUCAUUGGAAACUGGGGAACUUGAGUGCAGAAGAGGAAAGUGGAAUUCCAAGUGUAGCGGUGAAAUGCGUAGAGAUUUGGAGGAACACCAGUGGCGAAGGCGACUUUCUGGUCUGUAACUGACACUGAGGCGCGAAAGCGUGGGGAGCAAACAGGAUUAGAUACCCUGGUAGUCCACGCCGUAAACGAUGAGUGCUAAGUGUUAGAGGGUUUCCGCCCUUUAGUGCUGCAGCUAACGCAUUAAGCACUCCGCCUGGGGAGUACGGUCGCAAGACUGAAACUCA